rnacentral:lncRNA from 1 species
UCUCAUUUGUUACAAAUCUGGAAAGUUGCACCUAAUUUGAGAUAUUUCUCAUUGAAUUUCAACGGUAAAUCCAGCAGUAUCGAAAUCGAGCGCCGCGGGAGCGCAGGAAAGCCGGCUCCGCAUUCCGAAACGCCCCGUGCCGACAAGCGCGAGGAAGUAGGAAACCGAACGUGUCGGCCAAUCGCGGCAGCUACUCAUGCGUCACGCACGCUUUGCCUGGCA